AAGCAGGAACUUGACAGACAAGUGUAACGGUGAAUGUAGUUGCUCAAAAGAUUUCUACGAGCCCGUUUGUGAUCUGGAGAGUAAGAUAACCUACUUCUCCCCCUGCCAUGCUGGCUGUUCUUCAUAUAACGAAGAAAAGAAGGUCUAUGAGAAUUGUGAGUGCAGUAAGGCAGAUUUAGUCCCGGGAGCAUGUCCAGCAGAAGAUUCCUGUUCGACGAGGAAGUGGAUAGUUUUUGUAAUUCAGCAAUUCUUCGGAGCCCUCUUUUUCUUCAGUCACUACCCUGCCAUAAGUGUGGCUUACCUCAGAGUGGUUCCCGAAAUCGACAGGUCCGCAGCACAGGGAUUG